rnacentral:rRNA from 1 species
UACGUAGGGUGCAAGCGUUGUCCGGAAUUAUUGGGCGUAAAGAGCUCGUAGGCGGUCUGUCACGUCGGCUGUGAAAUCCCGAGGCUCAACCUCGGGUCUGCAGUCGAUACGGGCAAACUAGAGUAUUGCAGGGGAGACUGGAAUUCCUGGUGUAGCGGUGAAAUGCGCAGAUAUCAGGAGGAACACCGGUGGCGAAGGCGGGUCUCUGGGCAAUAACUGACGCUGAGGAGCGAGAGCGUGGGGAGCGAACAGG